rnacentral:rRNA from 1 species
GACAGAGGAUGCAAGCGUUAUCCGGAAUGAUUGGGCGUAAAGCAUCUGUAGGUGGCUUUUCAAGUCCGCCGUCAAAUCCUAGGGCUCAACCCUGGACAGGCGGUGGAAACUACCAAGCUGGAGUAUGGUAGGGGCAGAGGGAAUUUUCGGUGGAGCGGUGAAAUGCAUUGAGAUCGGAAAGAACACCAAUGGCGAAAGCACUCUGCUGGGCCGACACUGACACUGAGAGAUGAAAGCUAGGGGAGCAAAUGGG